rnacentral:rRNA from 1 species
AUUUUCGGCAAUGGGGGAAACCCUGACCGAGCAACGCCGCGUGAAGGAAGAAGGUUUUCGGAUUGUAAACUUCUGUUAUAAAGGAAGAACGGCGGCUACAGGAAAUGGUAGCCGAGUGACGGUACUUUAUUAGAAAGCCACGGCUAACUACGUGCCAGCAGCCGCGGUAAUACGUAGGUGGCAAGCGUUAUCCGGAAUUAUUGGGCGUAAAGAGGGAGCAGGCGGCAGCAAGGGUCUGUGGUGAAAGCCUGAAGCUUAACUUCAGUAAGCCAUAGAAACCAGGCAGCUAGAGUGCAGGAGAGGAUCGUGGAAUUCCAUGUGUAGCGGUGAAAUGCGUAGAUAUAUGGAGGAACACCAGUGGCGAAGGCGACGAUCUGGCCUGCAACUGACGCUCAGUCCCGAAAGCGUGGGGAGCAAAUAG